rnacentral:misc_RNA from 1 species
UACUGGCAGGAUCAACCAGGCAACAGUGAAGAACAAGUAUCCUCUUCCCCGGAUCGACGAGCUCUUCGAUCUGUUUCAGGGUGCGCAGUUCUUUUCGAAGAUUGAUUUGAGAUCAGGCUACCAUCAGCUUCGAGUCAGAGAGCAGGACGUGCAGAAGACAGCGUUUCGUACUCGCUACGGGCAUUAUGAGUUCCUUGUGAUGCCGUUCGGGUUGACGAACGCUCCAGCAGUGUUCAUGGCUUUGAUGAACAAGAUCUUCGCCCCGUACCUCGACAGCUUCACAGUCGUGUUCAUCGACGAUGUGUUGGUCUACUCCAGGUCCAGAGAGGAGCAUGAGCAGCAUUUGAGGACAUCUUUGCAGUUGCUACGUGACAACCAGUUGUACGCGAAGCUCAGCA